rnacentral:misc_RNA from 1 species
GUCCUACUCUGCUCCAUUUACCUACAAAGCCAACUUAAACCCCUCUGAUAGGAAUUCGUCCCUCUUCCUAUUCUUCCUUCCCUUCCGUGGUCUGGCUUUCUUCGCAUCAGUUUUUUCUUUGCUAACACAGGGAGAAACAAGGCUUCCACGAAAAGCCUUCACUGCAAAAGGAGUCACAGAAAUAGGUUUCUCCACCCUCUUGACACUCUUUUCUUUCAGGUUAUACCAGACAAGGUUUCCAGCCUGCACACCCAGUAGAAGUUCAUCACCAUUCUUUGAGAAAGCUAAGGUUCUCAAACAUUUUAAAGGUGCUACUUCGUUGGGUGUGAUCACAAAG